rnacentral:misc_RNA from 1 species
UGCAUGGCCAAGAUAAUGAUUUCUUUGAUGGGUAGGAAAAUUCUCAGGUUGCUGUGAUGAUAUUGCAUUGUUGAUCACUGCCCUUUUUGAUGUUUUGGUGCAGUUACCAGCUGAGCUGCUUGUGCUUGGGUUGGCUUGCUUCUCCUCAACUCUCUUCUUUAUGUGUGUGUGCCAGUAAUUCUUUACCUCAUUAUCUGUUCUUCCUGGCAAUUUUGCAGCAAUUGCAGACCAUCUGUUCCCAAGAAUCUGA